rnacentral:pre_miRNA from 1 species
CAAGUACUCCUCCGUCCGAAAUUACUUGUCAUCAAAAUGGAUGUGUCUAGAACUAAAAUACAUCUAGAUACAUCCAUUUCAAUGACAAGUAUUUUCGGACGGAGGGAGUACAAG